GGCGUAAGGGCUCGCAGGUGGUUUCUUAAGUCUGAUGUGAAAGCCCCCGGCUCAACCGUGGAGGGUCAUUGGAAACUGGGAGACUUGAGUGCAGAAGAGGAGAGUGGAAUUCCAUGUGUAGCGGUGAAAUGCGUAGAGAUGUGGAGGAACACCAGUGGCGAAGGCGACUUUCUGGUCUGUAACUGACACUGAGGAGCGAAAGCGUGGGGAGCGAACAGGAUUAGAUACCCUGGUAGUCCACGCCGUAAACGAUGAGUGCUAAGUGUUAGAGGGUUUCCGCCCUUUAGUGCUGAAGUUAACGCAUUAAGCACUCCGCCUGGGGAGUACGGCCGCAAGGCUGAAACUCAAAGGAAUUGACGGGGGCCCGCACAAGCGGUGGAGCAUGUGGUUUAAUUCGAAGCAACGCGAAGAACCUUACCAGGUCUUGACAUCCUCUGACAACCCUAGAGAUAGGGCUUCCCCUUCGGGAACAGAGUGACAGGUGGUGCAUGGUUGUCGUCAGCUCGUGUCGUGAGAUGUUGGGUUAAGUCCCGCAACGAGCGCAACCCUUGAUCUUAGUUGCCAUCA
rnacentral:rRNA from 1 species